rnacentral:tmRNA from 1 species
GGGGGCGCCAUGGUUUCGACGUGGUCGGUUCUCCGGACGAGCUGCAAGCCGAGGUCUCCGGUCGGCCUCGUAAAUCCACCGGAAAACAAUGCAAGUGCGGAAAAUAACCUCGCACUCGCUGCCUAGUCUCAGAGACUAGCCAGCGUGUCGCCCCGAGUUGGCCUGCGGCCCGGGUGCGGCAUCAACAAGCAGGCUGGCGCCAAAAGAACGCCAAUCGCUGGCGGCGCGAGACUUCAGGAUGGCUAGUCCGACGGUAGGCCGGCUGUGAGCCAGCCGCCGGGCGAAACUUCAAUCUCAGCCUACGCUUGUAGACGCUCGGACGGUGCGUCCGCGGACGCGGGUUCGAUUCCCGCCGCCUCCAC